GGACUACCAGGGUUUCUAAUCCCGUUCGCUCCCCCAGCUUUCGCGCCUCAGCGUCAAGAAUGCCCCAGGAGACCGCCUUCGCCACUGGUGUUCCUACCGAUCUCUACGCAUUUCACCGCUACACCGGUAAUUCCAUCUCCCCCUAGCACCUUCAAGACCGACAGUAUCCACCGACCCUCCGGAGUUAAGCUCCGGGCUUUCACAGCGGACUUGUCGACCCACCUACGCGCGCUUUACGCCCAGUAACUUCGGACAACGCUCGCCCCCUCCGUAUUACCGCGGCUGCUGGCAC
rnacentral:rRNA from 1 species